rnacentral:lncRNA from 10 species
GCCAGAACAGUGAUGACCUGGGGUGGGGUGUGGGUUGGUCUCUCCUGUGAGGUUUGGAAGGGCAGGUACACACGCGUGUGCACUUACCAAAACCUACUGCACUGUGCAUCCGACUGCACUGAUGUCCCUGGCUUCUUUGAGGCAACUUGGGUGACAGGCCAUCCUGAGCCAGUCAUGUCUUGCCCUCCCACUCAGGGCAGGCAGGAUGGGCUGUCUCAAUGGCCCCCAAAGCCUGGAAGGCUGGAAGGGUGGCAAGGAGGAAACCCACAGUGGGUAGAGUUACAGGGGUCAGAAGUGGGGGCCACUGCCUGCUGGGGAAGGCCACUGGAGGAAGCUGGGGCAGAAUGGGAGGGAAGCUGGCCCCUCACAUGAAUACGGGGAAUUAGGAAGUGUUUUCUCCUCCACAAUGUUUGGGAGAAUUUGGGGAUUUAUGUCCAUUCUUUAGCAUUUGGUAGAAUUCACCAUCUGGUCCUGGGCUUUUCUUUUGUUGGGAAGCUUUUGAUGACUGGUUCUACCUAUGUGUUUUAGGUUGGUUCAGAUUUUUUCCUUUUUCUUCUUUUUUUGAGGUCAGGUCUCUGUCUCUGCCUCAUUCCUGGCUGGAGUGCAGUGGUGCUGUCAUAGGUCGUUGCAGCUUUGAACUCCUGGGCUCUAGCUAUCCUCCUGCUUCAGCCUCCCAAGUAGCUGGGGCUACAGGCACGUGCCAUGACACCUGGUUGAUUUCUAAAGAUUUUGUCGAGGCAGGGUCUCUGUUGCCCAGGCUGGUCUCGAACUCCUGGCCUCAGGCCAUCCUCCUAACUAGUUCUCCCCAAGUGCUGGGAUCACAGGUGUGAGCCACUGCACCUGGCCCUGUUCAGAUUUUCUAUUUUUCCUGGGACAAUUUUGGUCAUUUGUAUCUUUCUAGGAAUUUUUUUGUUGUUGUUUUGAGACAGAGUCUCACUCUGUCACCCAAGCUGGAGUGCAAUGGCAUGAUCUCAGCUCACUGCAACCUCUGCCUCCUGGGUUCAAGUGAUUUUCCUGCCUCAGCCUCGUGAAUAGCUGGGAUUACAGGUGUGAGCCACCACGCCUGGCUAAUUUUUGUGUUUUUAGUAGAGACAGGGUUUCACCACUUUGGCCAGGUUGGUCUCGAACUUCUGACCUCAGGUGAUCUGCCUGCCUCGGCCUCCCAAAGUGCCGCGAUUACAGGCGUGAGCCACCACACCCAGCCAAGAUGUCGCAUCUUUUUAAAUGUUGGCAUUUGCAGCUAUAAAUUUCCCUCAGAGCAGUUUUUGCCGCAUUCCUUAAGUUCUGGUAUGUUGUUUUCAUCCAUCUCUAUUUCCUAAUUUUUCUCGUGAUUUCUCCUUUGACCCUUUGGCUGUUAAAAAGUGUGUUCAAUUCACAAGAAAAUGUGUGAAACAGAAAGUACGACAAAGUGAAACCCACGAAGCCACCACUGACCCUGAGGUUCAAAACCUCCAGCAUCUCUGCUCUUCCCUAAGCACAGCUCCGUCCCCUCCCCACGGGUGAGCACUGUGUUGUACUGACUCCCUGCCCUCCCUGAUGACUUUAGCACCUGGGUAUGAAUUCCACACAUAUUUGGUUUUGAGCUUUAUAAAAAUGGCAUCAUACUGUAUGAACUGUCUUGCUUUUUCAUCCCACGUUGUUUCUGAGAGGUGUUUGUGAUGGAGCACAGGGCCAC